rnacentral:lncRNA from 1 species
CUGACUUCUUUCAGAGUGAUUCUGAAAAUACAUCUGUUAAAGCCUGUAAUACAGUAAAACUGUGCUUUCAUACCACAACAUACAGCUACUUGGCUGGGCAUUAACAUUACCAUAGUACAUAUACGUUGCUCAGAACUGGCACUGGUAAAUUGGCAUAGUGCCUCAUUGUGACAUGGAGACCUGCAGUAUGAUGCUGUGCUGAGAGUGCUAUGGGAGAAAUAUGUACAAAGAAAAUACCAGUUGUGCAUGCAGUGCAGGAUUAAGCUUGCAUGCAGGAUGCAAGAUGAGGGUUGAGCUAUCCAGCAGCUUUGAUCAUCCCAGGACACUGCACUGGAACCAGACAACCCAAACCAAAGCAAAGACCAACGAGAAACCCUCAGCGAGCAGCAAGCCCUCCCAGUUUGUAGGGUGAUCUAUGUUCAGGAGGCUGUCUAGCAAGUAAACUUCACGCUUUGGCGACAGCAGUGCACGUCGGCACGUAAUUCCCACGCUGCCUUUGAAGGGCAACGUACCUAUGCCAUAAAUUGCAUCCCAAGACAUCCAGAGGGAGAUCUGG